rnacentral:rRNA from 1 species
UACGUAGGGUCCGAGCGUUGUCCGGAAUUAUUGGGCGUAAAGGGCUCGUAGGCGGUUAGUCACGUCGGGAGUGAAAACUCAGGGCUCAACCCUGAGCGUGCUUCCGAUACGGGCUGACUAGAGGUAUGCAGGGGAGAACGGAAUUCCUGGUGUAGCGGUGAAAUGCGCAGAUAUCAGGAGGAACACCGGUGGCGAAGGCGGUUCUCUGGGAAUGUCCUGACGCUGAGGAGCGAAAGUGUGGGGAGCGAACAGG